CUGGCCUAUGCCACAGCCACAGCAAUGUCAGGUCUGAGCUGUGUCUGCAACCUAUACCAUAGCUCACGAGCCACAUGGGAUCCUUAACCUGCUGAGUGAGUGAGUCCAGGGGUCAAACCUGCAUCCUCAUGGAUGCUAGUCAGAUUUGUUUCUGCUGAGCCACGAUGGGAACUCCCUGGAGGCUUCAUUCUGAUUUCUAAUCCUAAUUCUUUAAUUCUGGGCUGCAUUUGGAAGGACCGAAUUUUCAGAUUAUCUACAUAUUUUGAAACAUGUCAACUUGAUAAACAUGGCUUAAAUAACAUAAUAUAAAUAAAUAUAAUUUAAAAUGAACAAAUAAAUUUCCCCCAAACCUAUGGUAAUUAUACUACUCUGGCUCUUGCUCCCUGAAAUACAAGAAACAAAUCCAAUUUUAGAGGAUCAGGAACAAAUGUAUACAACAACUAAUAGAUACUAUUUAUUAGUCGAGUAUAAGAGAAAAUUAUACAUAUGACAAUAAUACAAAUCAUAGCUUAUUGGACAACAUGGAGGAAGGAAAAGCUAGAGUUCGUGCUCACUUUAUAAGAAUUUUAGAAAAACUCAAGUUUCCAAAUUUAGAGAUAAAUUAGAGAGAGAUAAUUUGGAUGACAAAAUAUUAUAACAUGUGAUGUAGAAUAUGUGAUACGUGUAAUACGUAACAUGUGCUUUAUGACAGAACUUAGCAGAGUUCUUUACAACACUAAACCACCUAAAUGAAGUAAAAUAUGAUUUCAAUUUCUAUAUGUCACUAUGUAUUUCUUCAGCAUUACAACAAUGGUUUAAAUAACAUAAUACACCUAAGUCAUUAUAUAAACUAUGGAUAGAACCCCUUGAAUAUCAGAUUCACAAUAAAAAUUCAAAUUUAUCCUUAAAUUACAUCAACUUUCAGUCAUACUGUGUUAUCUGCUUUCAGAAAAGAGACAUCUGAUUUUUUCCUCUCAGGUUGUAUAAUUCUUUUAAUUUUUUGGUUGCGCCCAUGGCCUACAAAAUUUCCAGGCCAGGGAUAGAACCUGUGCCACAGUUGUAACCAGAGUCAUAGCAGUGACAGUGCUGAAUCCUUAACCAAUUGAGCCAUGAGGGAACUCCUCAUAAUUUUUUAUAAUAGGUGAAAAAUAUGCACACACACAUGAUUUUGUUUUGUUUUGUUUCCAUUCAAGUUGAUGACUAAGUUUGCUAGAAGAUUAUCUUUUAGAGUAGAGAAAACAAGAUAACAAAAACAUCUAGAGACACAUAACUUACAGAAAUAGAAUUUAUGACAGUACAUUUUAACUUUAUAUGUAUGGGUGCUUGUGUACAUAAAUGCCUAGGUUCUGAACUGGUUAUAAUAUACUGAAGUCACUUUUGCUACAUUUUUUGAUUAUUUAUAUAAACAAAAACACCCUGAAAAAACAAAUCUUACUCACAGAAAAUACCAAUAUAUCGUUUAGAGCUGCAUCCUAAUGCAUUUAUUAAAAGAAAUGUUCAGGAGUUCCCGUCGUGGUGCAAGUGUUUUCUUUUGCCAUUCCAGGACUUCCCCCUCCUAAGAGCUAACAUUUAUUGUGCUCUUACUAUGUUGAGCCAGGACUCAGCUAAACCUAUUAACCCUCACAACAACCCCUUGUGAGACAGCCUAUUUUAUUCCUAUGAUACAGGUGAGAAAACUACUAGCAUAUAGAAAGUAACUUUGUCAGGGCAAUAUUUGAGAGUUAAAGCUGGGAUUUCAUCACAGACUCCCCCGGACUUCAGAGCCCACACACCACUCAAUGUACCAUUUCUGCAGCCCAAUGACUGGCUUAAAGCACAAGGAAAUUUAGGCUUCGGGAAGUCUGUGUUCUCAUUCCUGCUUCUUUUUAUCAAGAUGGGAGAACCUUGCCUCUGUCACUAGGACUCAGUUUCCUCACCUAUAGAAAGGGGGGAGUUUAAUUCUUAUGUUUACUAUGGCCCCUUAUGACUCAUAUCUUGUCCAUUCCAUCAACUGCAUGAUACAUGGCAAUUGUAUCAAAUUCAGCUCAAUAAGAAAGGGAAGCAUUCAUUGCCUUUUCCUGAGAGCCAAAAAUCCAUUUGCAAAAAGGUAAAAAACAAAGAGCCAGCUCUAGAGAAGUGACAAAGGAGGUACAGAGCUGCCCACCACCUACUAAGAACCCAAAUGACCGUUCCUAUGCAUCUGUGUUGACUGAAUUUAUUUUCACUUUUGAAAGCAGUUCAUUAUGGAAGCAGUUUAUAAAACUGCUGUUCAUCCUUUGUUUGGCCCUCUUGUGUUUUUUCCUUUAAUUCUUCUGCCAGUUAGAUAAACAAAGUUACUUUCCAGAGCUGCUCAAGCACAUCCUUCAGGUGUCUGAACAAGCAGAGGGAAGCCACUUUGUAGCUCAUUCUCUGAAGGUGAGCCCUCCUCCUCCCCAGCAGCCAAGGAAGAUACUAAACACACUGUAUCUCAGGGGAUGCAUUUGGGGGAAAUAUGAUUCCAAGAGAAAGCAGCCUUUGUUACACGGUAUGUUUCUUUCCAAUCACUCUAGGAUGAGAUCAGGAUUAUAAAUACUACACAAGCAACCCUCAGAAGGAGGAGUGUGUGUGUGUGUGUGUGUGUGAAAAUUAAGCAUGUGUAGAAAAGGUUCUUUCUGCAAUGGAAAUCUCUUAUUUUUGCUAUUAAUUAAAGGUGAGGAGCCCUGCUUUCCAAACCACGACCUUGUUUUCAGGUCUGCUCCUACAUAGUCAACGUAACUCUCUUAGGUCUCAUCCCUCUGGAUCUCUGUUUCAUUAUCUACAAAAGGCGUAGUUAGACAAAAACGAUUUCUGAAGACCCUUGUAGUUCUAACAUCCAAUAAUUCUGAAUUUCGCUAAGGCCCCAUCAUUUAAAUUUAUGCUGCUAUCCCAGAUAUUGCCACAAAUGUCUCUUUGGCUAAGGCAGUUUCAUAUAGCUCAGAAUUUCAUGCUCAAUGAAAAACAUAUGUGAAAACAACAACAACAACCCUUUAUUCCUUCCAAUUGAGUUUAAGGAUGAGAAACUCGAGCGUAGAUGGUUCUCUUGGGUAAUCUGCAGUAUGCCCACAUUGCCCUGCUUUGGAAUCCUCCUCUCUUGGGUUAGAACCAGACCGGUUUUGAGAAGAAGUCAAUUGCCUGCCUACAUUUCAUCUGAGUUUGAUUUGAAUGAGAAAAUUGCAAAUAAAACCCAGAAAGAAUUUUUUUGUUAGAAGGCAACAAAUUACUAUAACUAAAAGGUUGUUUGGUCUCUGAAUCAACUUUAUUUCUUGUCUUUUUGCUCUUUUGAAAAUAAAAAAUCUCAUUUCCAGCUCAUAAAGUAGCAUUAGUUCUUAUUAUUCCAUACAUUAGAAGUCAACUGGUAAUUCAUACAAAUUAAAUUAGUGAUUUUGCAUUUAAUUUACUGAUGACAAACUAUAGGAUUCAGCAGUUUUGCUCUGAUAACCUUUAAAAUGUAUUAAUUUCAUCAGUGAUUUACACUGGGCUUUAUUUCCCACUGCUACAGCUUCAUUCUCCAAAGCAGAAAUGCCCCAUGGUUUUUCAAUUUGUUACCUAAUCAGUACAAUAUAUUCCUGCUUUUCUUGCUUUUAUAUUGUCUCCUAAAUUUGAGACUUCAAUAUUUGAAGAAAUUGCACCAAGAAAUCUCACAUGGCUUUUCUAUUUCUAUGAACCUUUAAGGGAAUAAACAGAGAAAAAUGGAUCCUUUGAACUAGGGGUGCUGCUUGCAAACACAGGAGUCUUAAGAUGAUCACAUUCAAAUGAAGUUUUUUUUUUUUUUCUAAAUCAUGAAAUGUGGACAUUUCAGAAAAUAUUUUCACAAAUCCACCUAAAGCUCCUAAUAUCAAUAUAUCAAAAUCUCUGGGAGUUAGACCAAUGACGCUUAUUGGAGUCCUGACAAGAAGUUUCCUGAGGUGAUUCAGAUGAGACAAAAGCUGCUCUCUGCUCCCUAAAGGACCUGUUCUGGCUCGGGACUGAGGCCGUAAAUUCCUUUCCCACUUCCAUUUCCAGGCCAGAGGACCCCAGAUACAAUGGGGGUAAUUCCAGAAUUCAGAAAACCUGGGGCUACAGAGAACUCCAGUUUCUUUAAACUAUUACAACCAUAUACUUUAUGUCUAGUUAAAUCUAUGGGGGAAAAAAAUGACCCUCCUUCAAAACUGAAGAUGGGUUGGCUAAAGGCAGUGAAAUCCAACUAUAAAUUCAAAGUGCAAAUACGGCAUUUUUCCAAAUUCAAUACAACGAACAUACUUAUCUUACAGAAGAGAAAGAUGGCAAAGGGGAUCCAGGAACUACCAAAGCACCCAACACGCAUGCCUGGUGCUCCCUGCUGAGGUGUGGGACAUUUGGCUGGACUAAGGGGACUGGCAUGGGGCACAGAGACUGGGAAGCAAUGAAAGGGCACAGGAAGCUAUGCUGAGAAAGUGGGAGGAGGUUUGGCCAUUUGAAUAGAGCUAUCCACGGACUAACAGACUUAGCGAGUUCAAUAAAAAAGAACCCUGCAGGGGAAUCCUUUGAGGGCUGCUCUAGGGGAACUUGUUUUGAAUGCAAAACUGAAGGCCAAAUACGAUCCCAUGAUCUACAGGACGGAAAUGGUACUCCAGCGCUGCAGUCUAAGUCACUUUAUCCUUUUGACCGCAUUGUCUUUUUAGGUCUACUCUUUGUCAUGUUUGAGCUCUUCUGACAUUGAAUCUGUGACGUAAAAAAUAAAUGACGCACCACACAUUUUAUCCGUAAAAAAUAAGACAUAACAGAAAACUACAAAAUAUUACCUCUAUAUUAUAAAUGUGUCUUUCAUCUAUACAUGUUCCUUAUCAAAGAGAGCUUCUUAGAAAGGUUUGUGUUUUCUUUUACACUGUUUGAUAAAGAAUUCUGUAGUUUUUCCUCUUAAAAGUUUAUUUUGAAAAAGACUCAGGCUUUAUUUGUUUGCUGAUGUUGUGUGACCUUAAAGGCAAACUUGGCUUACUAAAACUUUUUUGUUUUGUUUUGUCUUUUUUAAGGCCACACCUGCGGCAUAUGGAAGUUCCCAGGCGAGCGGUCAAACUGGAGCCUUAGCCACCGGCCUACACCACAACAGCCACAGCAACACAACACAGCAUCUGAGCACCAUCUAUGACCUAUGCCAUGGCUUGUGGCAAUGCUGUAUCCUGAACCCGCUGAGCGAGCCAGGGAUUGAACCUGCAACCAUCCUCAUGGAUGCUAGUCAAGUUCUUAAUCUGAGCUCUGAUGGGAACUCCUAAAGCUUCUUUUUAAUAGUCAUGUUUUCUGGAUUGGUUGCUAUUCUGAAUGAAUAUUAGAAACCAUGCUGUUUCAUUUUUCCCUUUCCAAAUAAUAAUAACAAUCUCUUGAUUGGUAC
rnacentral:lncRNA from 1 species